rnacentral:rRNA from 1 species
GACAGAGGCCUCAAGCGUUAGGCGGAAUCACUGGGCUUAAAGCGUGUGUAGGCGGACGCCUAAGUGUCUUGUGAAAUCCCACGGCUCACCCGUGGAACUGCUGGGCAUACUGGGCGUCUCGGGCCAACUAGGGGCAGCCGGAACAAGCGGUGGAGCGGUGAAAUGCGUAGAUAUCUGGAGGAACACCGGUGGCGAAGGCGGCAUCCUGGACCGGCAUUGACGCUGAGGCGCGAAAGCCAGGGGAGCAAACGGG